rnacentral:rRNA from 1 species
CCUACGGGAGGCAGCAGUGGGGAAUAUUGCACAGUGGGCGCAAGCCUGAUGCAGCAACGCCGCGUGAGGGACGACGGCCUUCGGGUUGUAAACCUCUUUUAGUAGGGAAGAAGCGAAAGUGACGGUACCUGCAGAAAAAGCACCGGCUAACUACGUGCCAGCAGCCGCGGUAAUACGUAGGGUGCAAGCGUUAUCCGGAAUUAUUGGGCGUAAAGAGCUCGUAGGCGGUUUGUCGCGUCUGCUGUGAAAACUGGAGGCUCAACCUCCAGCCUGCAGUGGGUACGGGCAGACUAGAGUGCGGUAGGGGAGAUUGGAAUUCCUGGUGUAGCGGUGGAAUGCGCAGAUAUCAGGAGGAACACCGAUGGCGAAGGCAGAUCUCUGGGCCGUAACUGACGCUGAGGAGCGAAAGCAUGGGGAGCGAACAGGAUUAGAUACCCUGGUAGUCCAUGCCGUAAACGUUGGGAACUAGAUGUAGGGACCAUUCCACGGUUUCUGUGUCGCAGCUAACGCAUUAAGUUCCCCGCCUGGGGAGUACGGCCGCAAGGCUAAAACUCAAAUGAAUUGACGG